rnacentral:rRNA from 1 species
UACGUAGGGUGCGAGCGUUAAUCGGAAUUACUGGGCGUAAAGCGUGCGCAGGCGGUUUUGUAAGCCAGAUGUGAAAGCCCCGGGCUUAACCUGGGAAUGGCAUUUGGGACUGCAAGGCUUGAGUGCGGCAGAGGAGACGUGGAAUUCCUGGUGUAGCAGUGAAAUGCGUAGAUAUCAGGAGGAAUACCGAUGGCGAAGGCCAGGUCUCUG